rnacentral:rRNA from 1 species
GAUGAACGCUAGCUACAGGCUUAACACAUGCAAGUCGAGGGGAAACGAUAGAGAAAGCUUGCUUUUUCUAGGCGUCGACCGGCGCACGGGUGAGUAACGCGUAUCCAACCUGCCCAUCACUUGGGGAUAACCUUGCGAAAGUAAGACUAAUACCCAAUGAUAUCUCUAGAAGACAUCUGAAGGAGAUUAAAGAUUUAUCGGUGAUGGAUGGGGAUGCGUCUGAUUAGCUUGUUGGCGGGGUAACGGCCCACCAAGGCGACGAUCAGUAGGGGUUCUGAGAGGAAGGUCCCCCACAUUGGAACUGAGACACGGUCCAAACUCCUACGGGAGGCAGCAGUGAGGAAUAUUGGUCAAUGGACGAGAGUCUGAACCAGCCUAGUAGCGUGCAGGAUGACGGCCCUAUGGGUUGUAAACUGCUUUUAUAAGGGAAUAAAGUGAGCCUCGUGAGGCUUUUUGUAUGUACCUUAUGAAUAAGGACCGGCUAAUUCCGUGCCAGCCGCCGCGGUAA